CUUUUCUGUUGCCCAGGCUGGAGUGCAGUAGUGUGAUCACGGCUUACUGCAGCCUCAACCUCCCAGGCUCAAGUGUUCCUCCCACACAGCCUCCGAAGUAGCUGGAACCACAGGCACAUGUCACCACGCCUGGCUAUUUUUUUAUGUUUAUUUUUUGUAAAGACAAGGUCUCACAAGGUUGGUCUCGAACUCCUGGGCUCAAGCAAUCCGCCCACCUCAGCCUUCGAAAGUGCAGGGAUAACAGGCAUGAACCACUGUGGCCAGACUUCAGGUCUCAUUUCUGAACUGCGACAUCAUAUCAUACAAGGGGGGGGAUGGAGUUUGACAGCAGUGGCGUGUUUGUGUGCAAUUACAGUUGAGUGGGUAUCGGUUCAAAUGCCAUGCUUAGCACUCUGGGAUAUUAUAUGUAAGGGAAGAUGAAGAAGUUCUGGAGCCAAUGGCAGUGAUGGUUGCACAACUUUAGAAAUGUACUUAAUGCCACUGAAUCAAAUACUUACAAACGUAAAACUGGUCAAUUUUGUUAUGUAUAUUUUACCAUGAAUUUUUAAAACUAACGAAAGAGGGCCUGGCGUGGAAACUCAAUGCCUGUGGAUCACUUGAGUCCUGGAGUUCAAGACCAGCUUAGGCAACACAGCGAGACCCCAUCUCUAUAAAAAUAAAUAACUAAAACUAAAACAAGAAAUUAAUAUGGGAAGACCCAGAUUCACAUCUUCCUUCUAGAUCUGUCCUAGAUCCACCCAGUUAUUUUUCUUAAAUGGCACUAAUGUCGAGUCGCUUAGACCACAGCCCUCGACUUGUCCUCCCUCUUGCCCCUGGAGCCAGCAGACCCGGGCCCAGCAGCCUGUCCCUGCCCCACUGCCCUCCAUCCUGGUCCAAGCCCCACAGCAUCUCCAGCCCUGGAAUGACAAGCGUCUGCCUGGCCCCCCUAUGUGGAGUGCCCUUCCCCUGCUCCCCGCUUUUUUUUUUUAGACGGGGUCUUGCUCCAUUCUCCCGGCUGGAGUGCAGUGGCGCGAUCUCAGCUCACUGCAACCUCUGCCUCCCAGGUUCAAAUGAUUCUCCUGCCUCAGCCUCC
rnacentral:lncRNA from 10 species